rnacentral:rRNA from 1 species
UGCUACAAUGGCGCAUACAGAGGGCGGCCAACUUGCGAAAGUGAGCGAAUCCCAAAAAGUGCGUCGUAGUCCGGAUUGGAGUCUGCAACUCGACUCCAUGAAGUCGGAAUCGCUAGUAAUCGUGGAUCAGAAUGCCACGGUGAAUACGUUCCCGGGCCUUGUACACACCGCCCGUCACACCAUGGGAGUGGGCUGCAAAAGAAGUGGGUAGUUUAACCUUCGGGAGGACGCUCACCACUUUGUGGUUCAUGACUGGGGUGAAGUCGUAACAAGGUAGCGCUAGGGGAACCUGGCGCUGGAUCACCUCCUUAUACGAUGAU